rnacentral:rRNA from 1 species
CCUACGGGAGGCAGCAGUGGGGAAUAUUGGACAAUGGGGGGAAGCCUGAUCCAGCGACGUCGCGUGAGUGAAGAAGUAUUUCGGUAUGUAAAGCUCUAUCAGCAGGGAAGAAAGAAAUGACGGUACCUGACUAAGAAGCCCCGGCUAACUACGUGCCAGCAGCCGCGGUAAUACGUAGGGGGCAAGCGUUAUCCGGAUUUACUGGGUGUAAAGGGAGCGUAGACGGGGAUGCAAGUCUGAAGUGAAAGGCGGGGGCCCAACCCCUGGACUGCUUUGGAAACUGUAUGGCUGGAGUGCAGGGGGGGUAAGUGGAAUUCGUAGUGUAGCGGUGAAAUGCGUAGAUAUUAGGAGGAACACCAGUGGCGAAGGCGGCUUACUGGACUGUAACUGACGUUGAGGCUCGAAAGCGUGGGGAGCAAACAGGAUUAGAUACCCCUGUAGUC